CUGCGUAUUUUGCUUUCCAUCACUUCCAUUCGUUCAAUAGAAAAACCACAAUCUUUCAGAAUUAUUCUUAGUUCCUCUUCACUAAAAUUAAGAAUAUGAUAUUUGUGCCCGCUAACCUUAUAAUAUGAUGCAUUAAACCCCCCAAUCAAUAAAAGAUGUCCUCCUAAUUUAAGCAUAGAUGAUAUUGUCAUUAGAUUAUGACGGUAACU